UAUAACACAAAACCUUACCAAAUUGUAGUUUGCUUCCUAAGAGACUGGAUUACUAAAUUGAGAGACUGUUUCCAUGGUCAAUAAAACUGAAAAAAGUAUAAUCUGAACAUAGUUCUGGAUUGUUAUUUAGAAGGUGUGCAAAAUUGUAAAUGACUCAUUCUCAUAAAAAAGCAGCUUUCUUUGGUUCUUAUAUGCCUCAGGCUCUCCACAGCCAAAAAAUGAAUUAGAUAAAUGAACAAGUUCUGGGUAAGAUUCAAGUACAUACUUCAUUGGAGUACUUCAAAAUAAAGCAACACUGUCCUGGGCUAUGAAGGGAUACAAAAGUUAUAUAUGUUCCAACCCUCAAAGGAAAUAUUGUAUCCUUGCAUCAAUAAGGGAACCAGGAAUGGAACAAUGGAAAAUAUUGGAAGUUUAUAGUCCACCUUAGGAUAAAUUUGAAAGCAUAAAGCCACCUAUCAAUAAAGACAUAUGUACAACUGACUCCAUGAAAAAAUGUAGCUUUCUUUGAUUAGAUGCCUGACACUUUCUGAAGGACCUUGAGAAUUUUACUCAUUUAUGGAAAGAUAAUUUCCUACUAAUGAAACGUGGGAUUAAAAGUUGAAUCAAAGAAAAUUCAAUAGCUAAUUAUAA
rnacentral:lncRNA from 1 species